rnacentral:rRNA from 1 species
CCGCGGGAUUUGCCUGACUGAGGAUACCUUGUUACGACUUAGCCCUAGUUAUCGGUUUAACCCUAGGCGACUCCUUGCGGUUAUCGACUUUAGGUUCACCCAACUUCCAUGGCUUGACGGGCGGUGUGUACAAGGCCCGGGAACGUAUUCACCGCAUCAUUGCUGAUAUGNGAUUACUAGCGAAUCCAACUUCACGGAGUCGAGUUGNAGACUCCGAUCCGAACUGAGACCGGCUU